UCCUGGUGGCUCAGAUGGUAAAGAAUCUGCCUGCAAAGCAGGAGACCCAGGUUCGAUCCCUGGGUCGGGAA
rnacentral:tRNA from 1 species